rnacentral:rRNA from 1 species
AGAGUUCGAUCCUGGCUCAGGAUGAACGCUGGCUGCAUGCUUAACACAUGCAAGUCGGACGGGAAACACGGGAAACGGUGUUUCCAGUGGAGGACGGGUGAGUAACGUGUAAGAACCUGCCCUUGGGAGGAGAAUAACAGUUGGAAAUGGCUGCUAAUACCCCGUAGGCUGAGGAAUAAAAUGAGGAAUCCGCCCAAGAAGGGGCUCGCGUCUGAUUAGCUAGUUGGUGAGGCAAUAGCUUACCAAGGCAAUGAUCAGUAGCUGGUCCGAGAGGAUGAUCAGCCACACUGGGACUGAGACACGGCCCAGACUCCUACAGGAGGCAGCAGUGGAGAAUUUUCCAUAAUGGGCGAAAGCCUGACGGAGCAAUGUCGCGUGGAGGUAGAAGGCCCACGGGUCAUGAACUUCUUUUCCUGGAGAAGAAGCAAUGACGGUAUCUAGGGAAUAAGCAUCGGCUAACUCUGUGCCAGCAGCCGCAGUAAUACAGAGGAUGCAAGCGUUAUCCGGAAUGAUUGGGCGUAAAGCGUCUGUAGGUGGCUUUUUAAGUCAGCCGUCAAAUCACAGGGCUCAACCUUGGACAGGCGGUGGAAACUACCAAGCUGGAGUAUAGUAGGGGCAGAGGGAAUUUCCGGUGGAGCGGUGAAAUGCGUAGAGAUCGGAAAGAACACCGGCGAAAGCACUCUGUUGGGCCGACACUGACACUGAGAGACGAAAGCUAGGGGAGCGAAUGGCAUUAGAUACCCCAGUAGUCCUAGCCGUAAACGAUGGAUACUAGGCGUUGUGCGUAUCGACCCGUGUAGUGUUGUAGCUAACGCGUUAAGUAUCCCGCAUGGGGAGUACAUUCGCAAGAAUGAAACUCAAAGGAAUUGACGGGGGC